rnacentral:sRNA from 6 species
UCCCUCGAAGGCAGCGCACUCCUCCUCCCAGCGCUCCUUCAAUGAUUGGCAACACUCCUCCUCCUCCUCCCAGUUGCCAAUCCGGAUCAAGAGCCCGAUGCAUCCUCCUCCCGCAUCGGGCUCUUUUU